GUUGUUGAUUUUUGUAGUUAUGCAUCUCCCUCCCUCUCUCCCUCCUGUUCUUCCUUUUCCUAGGUCUCUCUUUUUUGGACUCAUGGUUUUACACUGUAGCUCAGUCUUGGCCUGAAACUCACCAUCAUAGCCAAUGCUUGCCUCAAAGUAGUCUGCCAUCUUUGGCCUCCUGUGUGGAGGGUUAGAAGUGGGAGCCACCACACCUGCCAUAAUUCAACCAUUCUCAUUCAGAUUUACCAUACAGCCAUAAGGGUGAUACGUUAAGAUUUUAGUACUCUCUUUGUUUUCUUUUUUGCAGUCUAACUGUACAGAACCCUGGGUUCCAAUCCCAGCACAGUGUAAACCCAUGCAGCAGCACAUUCCUCUAAUCCCUGUGUCCCUGUGGGUCAGAAGUUCAAGGACAUCUUUUGCUACAGAACAAAUCUGAGGCCAGCCUGGGCUACAUUUUGUUUCCAUGUAGUAAGUGUAUAUCCAUUUGUGACUGGGCAGUGGAGAAUCUAAGCAGCUGUGGGACAGAGCUGUCAAGCAAAGAAAAGAAGAACAAGCAGAGAACAAGGCCAUGUCACUCCCGCCGUUGUGGGAAAUAUCUGCAUGCAGACCUUAGUGGCUGCCAGACGAAAUUAAAAAUGGGUCCAUGAAACUAGGGGGAUUGAGAAUGACAUAAAGAAUGCUUCAGAGGCUCCCAGAUUUUAAGUGCUUUUCCACUUAAUCGUCUUUGGUUGCCAGAAGCCUGAAUUGAAGAGAACCCACUCUCUAUGCAUAGAAAAUGUUACCCUGGGAGAGAAGAAUGUCAGUGACCACCUGAGGAUGCUGAUGCGUUAGUCUGUUGAGCAAUGGCUUACUUUCUGAAGUCUCCACAUCACUCACCUACAGAAUGAAGUCCCUCUACCUUGGUGUGUUUCAACCAAGUAUGCUAAAUUUAUUCAAAACAAGUGGGUCUAUGUCACCAAGAGUUCCAAUUGGAUUCUUUGUGUACUUUUUAAAUAGUUUUCAGAUCACAUAAAAAUCAAGAUCAUAAGCCAGGCAUGGUAGUGUCAAUCUGUAAUACUACUGUUCAAGAAACUAAGGCAGGAAUGUUGGGCUAGAUAUUCCAGGGAGAUUCUAUGUCAGAAAACUAAAACCCAACAGUCAA